rnacentral:piRNA from 1 species
CCCAGAGUGCACUGGUGGAAUCUCAGC